GUUCAUACCACAGCCCAGGAGAGGCGAAUGAGGCCAGCUUAGAUGAUGAAACCCAGCCUCCAAUCCAUCCAUGGGAGCCUCCAUGUGUGAACGCAAUUCUAGAGGCCUAGGCUAACAGAGAACCCUCCUCAAGAGGAGAACUAGAGCUUCAUAAAGCUCAAAUCAGUAUAGUUGACAUUUGCAGGGUUUUUUAAUAAAGAAUGAGUUUUAUCAUUGGUGUGUAAGUAUGACUAAAACAAAUGAUACCCCUGACCAGACAUUAUUGUUAUUAUGUCAUACAGGUGAGGACGUCUCGUCUGUCUGUAGUAAACCAGGCACAGACGAGACGUGGACGUGGGCCCGUGAAGUGUACCGAAUUUGAGAAAUUGCAGAAGCAUGAAAAAAUAUUGUUGAAGAUAAAUAAUAGAGAAACAACACCAUGCUAUGUGAAUGCAUCCAUGUUUACAACACGUGUAACAUGGAUAGUUAAACAUCAUUGCAACAUGAGCUACCCUAGAUGGAGUCAUGUACCCCAAGCACAUAAGGAUGAGUUAAUCAAUCAUGUUCGGCGUGCUGAAAAGGCGAAUUUGGUGGACUUCUACAAGGAAACCCACUGAUCCAAAAAGAAUGAUAAAUUUGUGACACCUACCACCGAAGACGUUUAUGAUAUGGUUGGAAAGCUAGAUAUUCUAGAACUAAAGAAAUGAACUGAUG